CCUGGUGCCAGCAGCCGCGGUAAUUCCAGCUCCAAUAGCGUAUAUUAAAGUUGUUGCGGUUAAAAAGCUCGUAGUUGAAUCUGUGUGCCACACUGUCGGUUCACCGCUCGCGGUGUUCAACUGAUAUGUCUGUGGGACGUCCUGCCGGUGGGCGCAGCCCCUCAAAAGGCGGCCCAACUCAAAAUCCUACCACGGUGCUCUUCACCGAGUGUCGAGGUGGGCCGGUACGUUUACUUUGAACAAAUUAGAGUGCUUAAAGCAGGCUCAUUCGCCUGAAUAUUCUGUGCAUGGAAUAAUGGAAUAGGACCUCGGUUCUAUUUUGUUGGUUUUCGGAACUCCGAGGUAAUGAUUAAUAGGGACAACUGGGGGCAUUCGUAUUGCGACGUUAGAGGUGAAAUUCUUGGAUCGUCGCAAGACGGACAGAAGCGAAAGAAAUGUGUUUUCAUCAAUCAAGAACGAAAGUUAGAGGUUCGAAGGCGAUUAGAUACCGCCCUAGUUCUAACCAUAAACGAUGCCAGCUAGCGAUCCGCCGAAGUUCCUCCGAUGACUCGGCGGGCAGCUUCCGGGAAACCAAAGCUUUUGGGUUCCGGGGGAAGUAUGGUUGCAAAGCUGAAACUUAAAGGAAUUGACGGAAGGGCACCACCAGGAGUGGAGCCU
rnacentral:rRNA from 1 species